AUGGGGGAAACCCUGAUGCAGGGACGCUGCUUGAACGAUGAAGCCCUUCGGGGUGUAAAGUUCUUUCGGCAGGGGCGAUCAUGACAGUACCUGCAGAAGCAGCUGCGGCUAACUACGUGCCAGCAGCCGCGGUAAUACGUAGGCAGCGAGCGUUGUUUGGAGUUACUGGGCGUAAAGGGUGUGUAGGCGGUUCUCUAAGUUUGGUGUGAAAUCUCCCGGCUCAACCGGGAGGGUGCGCCGAAAACUGGAGGGCUAGAGUGCGGGAAGGGAGAGUAGAAUUCCUGGUGUAGCGGUGAAAUGCGUAGAUAUCAGGAGGAAUACCGGUGGUGCAGACGGCUCUCUGGACCGCGACUGACGCUGAGACACGAAAGCGUGGGUAGCAAACAGGAUUAGAUACCCUGGUAGUCCACGCCCUAAACGAUGCAUAUUUGGUGUAGGUCAUUCAGUUGAUCUGUGCCGGAGCUAACGCGUUAAAUAUGCCGCCUGGGGAGUACAGUCGCAAGGCUGAAACUCAAAGGAAUUGACGGGGGCCCGCACAAGCGGUGGAGCAUGUGGUUCAAUUCGACGCAACGCGAAGAACCUUACCUGGGCUCGAACGGCUCACGAAAGUCCUUGGAAACAGGGAUUUCCCGCAAGGGACGGGAGUCGAGGUGCUGCAUGGCUGUCGUCAGCUCGUGUCGUGAGAUGUUGGGUUAAGUCCCGCAACGAGCGCAACCCUUGUCCUGUGUUGCGAAUCCGCAAGGAAGCACUCGCAGGAGACCGCCAGCGAUAAGUUGGAGGAAGGUGGGGAUGACGUCAAGUCCUCAUGGCCUUUAUGUCCAGGGCUACACACGUGCUACAAUGGCCGGUACAAAGCGUCGCUAAGUCGCAAGACGGAGCCAAUCGCAAAAAACCGGUCUCAGUUCGGAUUGCAGGCUGCAACUCGCCUGCAUGAAGCUGGAAUCGCUAGUAAUGGCGGAUCAGAACGCCGCCGUGAAUACGUUCCCGGGCCUUGUACACACCGCCCGUCACAUCACGAAAGUGGGUUGUACUAGAAGUCUGCAGGCGAACCCGCAAGGGGCGCAGCGGCCCAAGGUAUGACUCAUGAUUGGGGUGAAGUCGUAACAAGGUAGCCGUAGGAGAACCUGCGGCUGGAUCAC
rnacentral:rRNA from 1 species